rnacentral:rRNA from 1 species
UGCAAGUCGAACGAUGAACCACCUUCGGGUGGGGAUUAGUGGCGAACGGGUGAGUAACACGUGGGCAAUCUGCCCUGCACUCUGGGACAAGCCCUGGAAACGGGGUCUAAUACCGGAUACUGAUCCUCGCAGGCAUCUGCGAGGUUCGAAAGCUCCGGCGGUGCAGGAUGAGCCCGCGGCCUAUCAGCUAGUUGGUGAGGUAAUGGCUCACCAAGGCGACGACGGGUAGCCGGCCUGAGAGGGCGACCGGCCACACUGGGACUGAGACACGGCCCAGACUCCUACGGGAGGCAGCAGUGGGGAAUAUUGCACAAUGGGCGAAAGCCUGAUGCAGCGACGCCGCGUGAGGGAUGACGGCCUUCGGGUUGUAAACCUCUUUCAGCAGGGAAGAAGCGAAAGUGACGGUACCUGCAGAAGAAGCGCCGGCUAACUACGUGCCAGCAGCCGCGGUAAUACGUAGGGCGCAAGCGUUGUCCGGAAUUAUUGGGCGUAAAGAGCUCGUAGGCGGCUUGUCACGUCGGUUGUGAAAGCCCGGGGCUUAACCCCGGGUCUGCAGUCGAUACGGGCAGGCUAGAGUUCGGUAGGGGAGAUCGGAAUUCCUGGUGUAGCGGUGAAAUGCGCAGAUAUCAGGAGGAACACCGGUGGCGAAGGCGGAUCUCUGGGCCGAUACUGACGCUGAGGAGCGAAAGCGUGGGGAGCGAACAGGAUUAGAUACCCUGGUAGUCCACGCCGUAAACGGUGGGCACUAGGUGUGGGCAACAUUCCACGUUGUCCGUGCCGCAGCUAACGCAUUAAGUGCCCCGCCUGGGGAGUACGGCCGCAAGGCUAAAACUCAAAGGAAUUGACGGGGGCCCGCACAAGCGGCGGAGCAUGUGGCUUAAUUCGACGCAACGCGAAGAACCUUACCAAGGCUUGACAUACACCGGAAAACCCUGGAGACAGGGUCCCCCUUGUGGUCGGUGUACAGGUGGUGCAUGGCUGUCGUCAGCUCGUGUCGU